CGCGGCCUAUCAGCUUGUUGGCGAGGUAACGGCUCACCAAGGCGAUGACGGGUAGCUGGUCUGAGAGGAUGGCCAGCCACAUUGGGACUGAGAGACGGCCCAGACUCCUACGGGAGGCAGCAGUGGGGAAUCUUGCGCAAUGGUCGAAAGACUGACGCAGCGACGCCGCGUGCGGGAGGAAGCUCUUCGGGGUGUAAACCGCUGUUGCCCGGAACGAACGUCAGGAUUUGUCCUGAUUGACGGUACCGGGUGAGGAAGCGCCGGCUAACUCUGUGCCAGCAGCCGCGGUAAUACAGAGGGCGCGAGCAUUGUCCGGAAUCACUGGGCGUAAAGGGCGCGUAGGUGGCGGCAUAAGGCCGUGGUGAAAGUCUGGGGCUCAACCCCAGAUCGGCCGUGGCAACUGUGUCGCUAGGGCACCGUAGAGGCAGAUGGAAUUCCGGGUGUAGCGGUGGAAUGCGUAGAGAUCCGGAAGAACACCAGUGGCGAAGGCGGUCUGCUGGGCGGUGGGCUCGUAAGAGCCCGUGAGCCGACACUGAGGCGCGACAGCGUGGGGGGCAAACAGGAUUAGAUACCCUGGUAGUCCACGCCGUAAACGAUGGGCACUAGGUGCUUGGGGGAGCGACCCCCGGGGUACCGGCGCUAACGCAUGAAGUGCCCCGCCUGGGGAGUACGG
rnacentral:rRNA from 1 species